rnacentral:rRNA from 1 species
CUUGCAAGUCGAGCGGAUGAAGAGAGCUUGCUCUCUGAUUCAGCGGCGGACGGGUGAGUAAUGCCUAGGAAUCUGCCUGGUAGUGGGGGACAACGUCUCGAAAGGGACGCUAAUACCGCAUACGUCCUACGGGAGAAAGCAGGGGACCUUCGGGCCUUGCGCUAUCAAAUGACCCUAGGUCGGAUUACCUAGUUGGUGAGGUAAUGGCUCACCAAGGCGACAAUCCGUAACUGGUCUGAAAGGAUGAUCAGUCACACUGGAACUGAAACACGGUCCAGACUCCUACGGGAGGCAGCAGUGGGGAAUAUUGGACAAUGGGCGAAAGCCUGAUCCAGCCAUGCCGCGUGUGUGAAGAAGGUCUUCGGAUUGUAAAGCACUUUAAGUUGGGAGGAAGGGUUGUAGAUUAAUACUCUGCAAUUUUGACGUUACCGACAGAAUAAGCACCGGCUAACUCUGUGCCAGCAGCCGCGGUAAUACAGAGGGUGCAAGCGUUAAUCGGAAUUACUGGGCGUAAAGCGCGCGUAGGUGGUUUGUUAAGUUGGAUGUGAAAGCCCCGGGCUCAACCUGGGAACUGCAUUCAAAACUGACAAGCUAGAGUAUGGUAGAGGGUGGUGGAAUUUCCUGUGUAGCGGUGAAAUGCGUAGAUAUAGGAAGGAACACCAGUGGCGAAGGCGACCACCUGGACUGAUACUGACACUGAGGUGCGAAAGCGUGGGGAGCAAACAGGAUUAGAUACCCUG